UUUCACCUGCAAUCCAAAAUAGUCAUAAAUUAGGCUUGGGGUUGAAAUGCCUUUGAAACAUCUCCAUUACUCAAUCAGACCUGAGAGUGGCAUUGCAGAACACAAGACAAAUCAACACCAGAAGCUGUGGUGAUAUCACAGCUCUCAGGCCCUGCUGCUAUCUUUUUGCUAUUAUGAGAAAAUAUGCAGAGAUGAAAAUAUUUUGUAAUGGAAAUUGGUCUGCGGUAUGCACUUCAACAAUGUAAUUAUCAUAUGCUUUUAACUGUAUUUAUCCUGUCUGAUAGGAGUGCCUGGCGUGCUAUGGUCCAUGGGGUCACGAAGAGUCAGACACAACUAAACGGCUAAACGACAACAACAAUCCUGUCUGAUGAUUGGAAGCCAUUGUUUGAAGAUCACUGUUGGUCAAAAAAGUAGUCUAGAUAUUUAAAGAUAAAUGCUAUACAGUGGAACCUCGGUUUAUGAACACCUCGGUUUAUGAAUUUUCGGUUUACGAACCCCGCGGACCCAUCUGGAACGGAUUAAUUCACUUUCCAUUACUUUCAAUAGUUCGCUUCAGUUUAUGAACGCUUCAGUUUAUGAACAGACUUCCGGAACCAAUUACACCCAUGCUUCGGGUUAAGUGCGCUUCGGGUUGAGUACUCCGCGGACCCGUCUGGAAGGGAUUAAUCCACUUUCCAUUACUUUCAAUGGGAAAGUUCGCUUCAGUUUAUGAACGCUUCAGUUUAUGAACAGACUUCCGGAACCAAUUGUGUUCAUAAACCGAGGUACCACUGUAUUGAUUAUUCCUAGAUCUAAUGGCAUGACACUGUUGCCUUAAAUGAACUAAGUCGCCAUUUUUUAUCAUUUAAGUAGCAAUUAUUUUUUUAUUCCAGAUUCAUAAUCCCCUACCGCAGAUAUUCAAUAACAACUUUAUGGGCUAUAUCCAGUUCUUUAGACUGGCAUUUGAAAUUAAUUGCAGAAACUGAUACAUGAGAUGGACUCCAGUGUCUGAUCUCAAAAUCUAGAUUUAAAAAUUUGAAUCUUUUUUCUUAAAAAAAGACUAAUAAUAUUUCAUUUCAGGCUUGCAAAUCAUUUUGCUUAUGUAAUCCCUACUAAGGAUGCUGGAGACUUCCAUCAAAAAUGGAAACAUGACUGGAAAUUCCCGUCAUCUGUCUGUUGGUCGGAGGUCAUAAACCGAAAUCAUGCAAUCAAAUAUGAGUGAUAAGUCACUAUUGUUGUUUAUACAACAAUGGGCUACACAUUAUUUAUUUAUUUCUGCAUUUACAUUACAUUGCAUCACUUUCUGCAUUGUUUUUGAUGUUUCCAUUACACUGAAAUUAAUUAUGUCAUUAAUUACAUGUGUUUCAGCCAUAGCAGAUAGUGAGACAAAUAAUGUAAAUUUUAGUGGAAGUUGAACUAUAGCAGAAUAGAAACAGCCCUGAUUGUGAAGGACCCAUGAUGAACCCAGGAAGGGAUGGAAAUUGCUGCCUCUUUACAUUCCUGAUCAGCACAGAAACACAUUUCAAAAGGAUCUUGCUCUGGGAUCGUUAUGAUGUGAUGAAGGGGAGUCUACAAAUUUGGUAAAGAAAUAAAAGUAAAAUAGGGUGGUUUAUCUGGCCACUUCAUUCUCCUCUAUAGGAAGGUUGUUUUUUCCCUUAUGUGAAAAUGCUUGGAGUCGGAAAUCAUGCUCUACAACUCUGAUUUUUGUGUGGUUUUAUGAUCUGUGCUGUGCACCUGGAUUUAUUUUGAAUGCUUCAAUUUGUAUUGAUGGAAUUUUAUGUAUUGUUGUAUUGUGUUUCAUGCUUUGUUAAGUUACUCUGAAUGCACUGAUGGGAAGUGGGAUAUAAACAAUCAUAAUAAUUUUAGUGAAAAACUAGGCAGGAUAAGAUGAUUUAUCCCACUUCUCUUGGGCACCACAUGCAAUAACCCACCUUCUUCAUAGAGGACCUGGCAAUUCUGUUCCCAAUAGAUGUUGUGAAAGUACAGUGGUGCCUCGCUAGACGAAAUUAAUUCGUUCUACGGGUCUUUUCUUAUAGCGAAAAAUUCGUCUAGUGAAUCCCAUAGGAAUGCAUUGAUUUUUUUUGAAUUUUUCUUUGCCCAUAGGAACGCAUUAAUUGAAUUUCAGUGCAUUCCUAUGGGAAACCGUGAUUCGCUAGACGAAUUUUUCGUAAAACGCAUUCGUCUAGCGAGGCAACUCCGCUUGAAAAAUCCUUUCGUUGAGCGGAAAUUUUAUUAAGCAGGGCAUUCGUUAAGCGAGGCACCACUGUAAACAUAAUUGCGUUAGUGAACUUAAUAUGUAUGUCUCUCUCUCUCUCUCUCUCUGUGUGUGUGUGUGUGUGUAUACACAUAAACACAAACACACCAGAGCAUGUGAUAAUGUAGGAGAAGCACUAAGACCAGUAAAAUGCCCUAGAGAAGGAGAAGCAGAAAUGGGGGGAAUCUCUGAUAGGGAAGGGCACGAGGCAGUCUAGUGAAUGAUCUUAGAGCACAUGAUUCUGUAAGGCUGUUGAAACUAAACAGGUGUAGCCCUGAUCACUUCCUGGACAAGAGACCACCGGAAGCCCCAGGUAAGCCACUGGAACCUUUCAAAAGACAAAAAUGGGCUUUUAAAAAAUAAAGAUGUGGUAGGAGGCAUUGUUUCUGUCUUUUCAGAUAUCUAUCUUAUAUGUGCUUUAUCAUGUUGCGACAAACAAAACACUGCAAAUAUUUCCCAGAUUGAAAGCGCUAGUUAAAUGACUGAUCCAAAAUUUUCAGAAAUUACUGACUGGAGUUAGGAGUAGCUUGGAACUGAAUCUCUUAGUUAAUUACUUUGCUCUUCCUGUUGCAAUAAAGAAAAACAAAAUUGAAAAAUCCAACCAUGUAAAGGAGGCAGCAAACAUUUAACUCUUACCAACAAAUUUCUGAGGCAUAGAACUCUUACGUUUGGCGACGUUACUUGCUAGUCUGUCCAACAUAAGGGAUCGCUCUGACCCCAUCUUGCACAGGUCUUCAGCCAUUUCGCUCUGGCUGGUUUCAUCUUUCAUGACUGCAAAAAAUAAAAGAAACAAGAUAUCCUAAACACAUAGCCAUGGAAAGUUCCAACUUUGCUGAGACAUAGUCUACAGGCAGGCACAGGUGGAGAAGGUGCCCAAAAAGAAGCAGUUUGGGAUACCCAGUGCUAGUUUCUCAAAGCAGAAUGAAUUGUUUUAGCACUGCGAAACCAUUUUUAAAUUCUAAAACCAAUUAACAGUUUUUCACCAUAGCUUUGUAUAAUGGCAUGGUGAUAUGGGCAGUUUUAUUUUCAGUCUGUUUCCUAGUGAUUCCUAACACGGAAUUAACCUUUCUAACAAUUGCCACUAACUCUUAAGCCAGAGCUUUCCAAACUGUGUGUUGUGACAUGUUAGAAAAACAGUGUGCAGUGUGUGUCACGGGAACAUUCUUAUAAGGGGUUAGUUUAACCUCUGGUUUGCUAGUAAAAUUGAAUUACUGUGUCAUGAAAUGUCUAAAAAGUGUGUCACUAACAUGAGAACUUUGGAAAGCUCAGUCUAAAGCACACAAUGCAAACUGAAUCAUCUCUAUCUAUAUACUUGUGGACUCUCCCUCCCAAAAACCCCCCAAAGGCAAGAAUUUACCCUAGCAGAAGCCAUCCUGGUUCUGUUUCAGAAAGGUCUGCUCUUCUAUAUGUUUGGCAAUUGUAUCUUUAGCAAUGGUAAAAAAAACAACUAGUCUUCCCAGAACAGAUGCUAAACUAGCUGACCUGUAAUUUUUCUGGAUCCUCUUUUUAAAACUGGUGCUAUGUUGGCUACCAAAUCCAACCCCCUCCUUCUGACACUACCAUCUGAUCCAUGUAUUGAGAUCACAGAGCUGUGUUCUGUGCAUGGAACCAGUUGUAUUUCAGAGAAGGCUACCCUGUGGGUCCUGGGUGCCAAACACUUGCCUAACAAACCACAUUUUGCUUUCAGGACUGGAUGAAUACAUUUCCUUCACAUCACAUUGACGUCAAGAGGCAGCAGAACUACUCCCUAGCACAGUCUUAUCAGGCUCUCCACGUGACACCUGAAACAUUUGCACUAGGCGGGAAAUCUCCACAAACCCCUGAUGAUGGAACUACUAGGUUUGGGUCGGAAAUUCAAUUCAGCUCUCAUGAACGACAAACCUACCUGAUCUGCAUUUUUUCAAAUCAACGCACAUACCAAAACACAGCCAUCCUACAGAAUUUGCACUUCUCAUAAUUUUACAAUGUUGUUCUCCAACCAAGGUGUACAAAAAUGCUAGGGAAGUUUACGCAUAAAAUACAUACAUUGGUGAAAACUUUUUUUCUAAAAAAAUGUAUUAGGGGAAAUACUAGGGAAAACUACAUUUAAAAAAAUUCUGUUGUGAGAAAUUUCAAGAAAUAAGGAUUGCAAACUGAUGUGGAACUAUGGAGAGCUGAACUGAAGAGAGGAAAAAUGAGAAACCAGAAACGGGCAGUUUGCCCAUCCCUAUGAAUGCCCUCCUUCCAGGAGCCCCUCGUUCCCUGGAGCAUCCCCGGUGUGAGAGGAUAACUGCUCUUGGGUGCUUUAUCUGAGAUUAAAGCAACUGCCAUGGAUGUUUUAGCUGAGACUCCUACAUUGCAUGGGGUUGCACUAGAUGUGCCUUGGGGUCCCUUCCAACUCUCACCCUCAGAAUGGGAUCCAGCUGCCUAGUCUGUGAAGGCUUGCUCUGCCUCUCAGCUUUUCCUGGCCAGCUACCAUGGACUAAGGGGAUCGAAAUAUUUCCCUGAGGGCUGGGAGCUCCUUCUACCCAGCAACCCAUGAUUCCAGCAGAGCAGAAGGGGAACAAUGGAGACCCUUUCUCCAUCGAGGAGGACAGAGACCACUGCAAUCCAGCCUCUCCCUCAGAGCUGAGGUUUCAUAAUGCACAAAUGUUCUGCGUUAAUUUGAAUGUUUAGAAUGCGAACCUUUCUCAAACAAUGAUUGCCAAUGUUGCUUAUUUUAUAUUAAUAAAUAAGUCUAAACAGAGUACUUUUUAAAAAAAGAAAAUUAUUUUUACAAGCUUUGCAAGAAGCAUGGGAUUGGAGAGUGAAGGAGAGAAUUGUACUCCUCCCCUCCUUG